ensembl:lncRNA
AGAAUGUUUACCUAAGGCUUUCAACUUCCUCUACCUCCCUAUAGUUUAGCACCAUAUAAGAGACACAAUACCAUUAGACAAUUAGACAUUGAUUUAACUUAGCGUAUUUCAGUGAAAUAUAAACAACUGUUACAUAAAAUGACAUUAAUUUGAAAACAAAAUAGAAGGUAAAUAGUUUGUCAGCCUGUGAGGUAAGUAUCCUCUGUAUUUGAGUGAAUUUAAAAAGUGAAGUUGAAAGUGCAUGAUGUCCAGGACUGAGAAUGGGAAUGUGGCCGAUCGGGUCGCCACCAAGGGGGUUAAGGAGAGGAUUGUGGAUAUUUACGUCAGUGCGGAAAGUCUGUUUGUUUAUGAUAAACCUUGGAUCGAAGGAGACAGUAAAGGGGAAGCUGUGGAGAACGAAUACUCAGAGGUGGCCAAGGUUUCAGGGCAGAAGAAGGCCUACAGGAUCCGAGCCGUGCUCCCUUGGCUCCUCGUGGUUCUCCUCCUUGUGGUCGUCACAGGCCUCGGAAUCGCCCUAAAGGAAGAGAAGAGCCAGAGGAAUUUUGAAAGAAAGGAGGCCAUGGCCAAUCAUUUAAACAAAACCAGCCCAAUAACGGAGGAGUCUGACCAGGUCCAGGAGAAACUAUGUGGUGGUCGUGGUGAGUGGAAAAGAUAUCGCUGCAGUUGUUACUCCAUCUGCUCGCAAAAUAAAAAAAAACCAGAAGGAUUUGGGACAACAGCAUGUGUGGGUCCGAAGACACGAUGUUUGUAUGUGUGGAGGUGGUAGGAUGGAACUAUUUUCCCCACUAUGAGUUUCGGGUACGACAGCCCGGAUGAAGAAGCCUGUGCUUUGAUGAAAGACAUCAACCCUUCAGCGCAGAGACCUCGGAGACGUUUCACCUGCAGCUCCAAAUAAAACUGGACCUGUAAGAAAAUAAUAGAAUGAGCUCACCAUGGGUACAGCCAACCAGCACACAGACACACCGGUGUGGAAAAUUGUAUCAUUUUAAUAACAUCACAGAUACAUUUGCUCAUCUUCUUUACUGUAUCACUGAUUCACUUAGAAAGCCCUUUGUGUAUGUAUUUAAGUUACGUAAUUUGCCGUCUACUUAAUACUUUGAAAAUGUGCACAUUCCACGGUCCUAUUUUGCACUUUCUUGCACAGCAAAAAAAAAAACAGACUGUUCUAAAUCUCUUUUAUAUUCCUCAGAUAUUUGCCAUAUUGUUUUCUUAAUGUAAAUGUUUCUAUUUUUAUAUUUAUGUUUUCUGCUUUCAGUACUUGUGCCUUAUUUUCUUACUGUAUCCUAUCUUUGUUUGUUAUUGUUUGCACCAAAUACCAAGAAAAAAAUCCAUGUAAUAAAGCACAUUUUGGGGAGGAUCCA